rnacentral:rRNA from 1 species
UGGGGAAUAUUGGACAAUGGGCGAAAGCCUGAUCCAGCCAUGCCGCGUGAGUGAUGAAGGCCUUAGGGUUGUAAAGCUCUUUCGCCAGGGACGAUAAUGACGGUACCUGGAUAAGAAGCCCUGGCUAACUUCGUGCCAGCAGCCGCGGUAAUACGAAGGGGGCUAGCGUUGUUCGGAAUCACUGGGCGUAAAGCGCAUGCAGGCGGAUCGUUAAGUCGGGGGUGAAAGCCCGAGGCUCAACCUCGGAACUGCCUUCGAUACUGGCGAUCUUGAGGCCGGGAGAGGUGAGUGGAACUCCGAGUGUAGAGGUGAAAUUCGUAGAUAUUCGGAAGAACACCAGUGGCGAAGGCGGCUCACUGGCCCGGUACUGACGCUGAGAUGCGAAAGCGUGGGGAGCAAACA